rnacentral:rRNA from 1 species
AUUGAACGCUGGCGGCAGGCCUAACACAUGCAAGUCGAGCGGAUGAAGGGAGCUUGCUCCUGGAUUCAGCGGCGGACGGGUGAGUAAUGCCUAGGAAUCUGCCUGGUAGUGGGGGAUAACGUCCGGAAACGGGCGCUAAUACCGCAUACGUCCUGAGGGAGAAAGUGGGGGAUCUUCGGACCUCACGCUAUCAGAUGAGCCUAGGUCGGAUUAGCUAGUUGGUGGGGUAAAGGCCUACCAAGGCGACGAUCCGUAACUGGUCUGAGAGGAUGAUCAGUCACACUGGAACUGAGACACGGUCCAGACUCCGACGGGAGGCAGCAGUGGGGAAUAUUGGACAAUGGGCGAAAGCCUGAUCCAGCCAUGCCGCGGGUGUGAAGAAGGUCUUCGGAUUGUAAAGCACUUUAAGUUGGGAGGAAGGGCAGUAAGUUAAUACCUUGCUGUUUGGACGUGACCAACAGAAUAAGCACCGGCGAACUUCGG